UACGGAGGAUGCAAGCGUUAUCCGGAAUGAUUGGGCGUAAAGGGUCCGCAGGUGGCAGUGUAAGUCUGCUGUCAAAGAAUGAGGCUUAACCUCAUCAAGGCAGUGGAAACUACACAGCUAGAGUACGGUCGGGGUAGAAGGAAUUCCUGGUGUAGCGGUGAAAUGCGUAGAUAUCGGGAGGAACAUCAGUGGCGAAGGCGGCCUUCUGGUCCAGUACUGACACUCAAGUGCGAAAGCGUGGGGAGCAAACAGG
rnacentral:rRNA from 1 species